rnacentral:rRNA from 1 species
CUUGGUCAUUUAGAGGAAGUAAAAGUCGUAACAAGGUUUCCGUAGGUGAACCUGCGGAAGGAUCAUUAACGAAAGUCGCAACGUCGGGGGCUCGCGUCUUCGGACGCGAGCCGUCGCGGACUUCUCUAUCAACCCCUUUUGUGCACCCUGCGCGAGCCGGUACGAGACUACGUGUCUCGGAAGGCUUGCGUCCAUCAAAUACCCCGAUGUAAGUCGCCGAAUGUACACCGCGUUAAUCGCAUAAAUACAACUUUCAGCAACGGAUCUCUUGGCUCUCGCAUCGAUGAAGAACGCAGCGAAAUGCGAUAAGUAAUGUGAAUUGCAGAAUUCAGUGAAUCAUCGAAUCUUUGAACGCAACUUGCGCCCCUCGGCAUUCCGAGGGGCACACCUGUUUGAGUGUCGUGAAUUCCUCCACCUUUCGUCUUUUUGAUCGAGAGGCUGGGAUUUGGGGGCCUCUGCGGGCCUUUUGUGGACCCGCUCCCCUUGAAUGCAUGAGUGAAGACCCUCGCUACCUUGGUGUGAUAAUGUCUACGCCUCGGCCGGUCGAGAUGAGGCCUUUGCUUCCAACCGUCCGUCUUUGGACAAUGUGAUACGAACUUGACCUCAAAUCAGGUGGGACUACCCGCUGAACUUAAGCAUAUCAAUAAGCGGAGGA